rnacentral:rRNA from 1 species
UACGAAGGGGCGUAGCGUUGUUCGGAAUUACUGGGCGUAAAGCGCGCGCAGGCGGUCUUGUAAGUCAGAGGUGAAAUCCCUGGGCUCAACCCAGGAACUGCCUUUGAGACUGCGAGGCUUGAGGACGGGAGAGGUGAGUGGAAUUCCCAGUGUAGAGGUGAAAUUCGUAGAUAUUGGGAAGAACACCAGUGGCGAAGGCGACUACCUGGACUGAUACUGACACUGAGAUACGAAAGCGUGGGGAGCAAACAGGAUUAGAUACCCCCAGUAGU